rnacentral:lncRNA from 1 species
UCCAAAUUAAUUGUUUAAGUAAAAAAAGUUGUGAAAAAAAUAAAAAAAUGAAUAGUAUUUGCCAUGGCAAGUCUAAACUGCUGGAAACACACUUUGCUGAAGGGGGCUAGGGCAGCCACUAUUUACGUGAAUAGUAGCUGCCCUAAGAGCACUUUCACCAGUUGACUCUUGCCAUGGCAAGAUUAGCCCUAGGGCAGGCACUAUUCAC